UUCGUUAGAUCACCGAAGUCAAGCAUCAUUGGGCGCGGUCAGUACUUGGGUGGGUGACCACCUGGGAACACCGCGUGCCGUU